rnacentral:rRNA from 1 species
AGGGCGUGAAACCGCUUAGAAUAAAACGGACGGAGCUGUCUAAGGCCUUUGGGAAUCAGUCAUGCGAUUUCGCGAAAAUGCUAGUGUCAGAACGAAAGUCUGACUCUGGUGUUAGUAGUAGCAAUCGUUUGGCGCAUUUCCUGAGGGUGAGCACUGCGACCGGUACGGAAGGCCAGUGAAGCGAUUCGAUUGAGGUCGAAUCCCGCAAGGGAAUCGUAACCAGUCUUUUCGCCUGAGUCGCUGGACCGCCUAGAAGGUACCGAGAGCCGUUGAAAGCGUAUUGGCGAAAGCGCUCACCGAGUGAUGGAUAGUCGGUCGAUGGGCUGGUUCUUGCGUGCAGGGACUGGCUUAUUCGGUAGACUUUGAAGUUACCGGUGACAUUCCAAUGCGCGGGCGUCAGCAGCUGUCAGUGUCGGCCACCCGUCCGACCCGUCUUAGAAACACGGACCAAGGAGUCUAACAUAUGCGCGAGCUAAUGGGUGGAAAACCCAAAGGCGCAAUAAAAGUAAAGGCUGUUUUAGAACGGCUUAGAUAUGAUCCUGGAGUCCUAGCGGCUCCAGGCGCAAUAUCGUCCCGUCUCAACCGCAUAUCGGUAGGGCGGAGACAGAGUGCAUAUGUUGCGACCCGAAAGAUGGUGAACUAUGCCUGAGUAGAGUGAAGCCAGAGCAAACUCUGGUGCAAGUUCGUAGCGGUUCUGACGUGCAAAUCGAUCGUCAAACUUGGGUAUAGAGGCAAAAGACUAAUCGAACCAUCUAGUAGCUGGUUCCUANCAGAAAACUUUCCCUCAC